ACUCUAAUUUAAAAUAUUCUACUUGUAACAUGCGGUCUAAACUUAUUGAUUUCUAUAGAAAUUCAGUUGUCAAACAACUUCAACAAGUUCAAGGCAAAUAUAACAUAAUAUAUAGUAGCAAAAUAACUAUUUGAGAUGCCAUAUCAGCUGCUAGGCAAUUGAAAACUGACCUCAAAAUAUCAAUGUCAACGGUAAUAGACACAAAUAACGGACAGAUAUUUCAUUCCGCUGCAAGUAUACUUAGAAAAGACAUCGAAACUCUAAAGAAGAAUACCCAACUUCGGAUGAAUUGUCUCUUCCUUCUUCAAUUCAGUCAAUGCCUUCGUAUUUAUUGCAAUUCAUUUUAUAGUUACUCGAUGAAACUGCAUACAGCCAAGACUAUUCUCAGGAAAUGGCACCAGAGAAAUUGCGUAAAUGCUAAGAAAUUGUUAAGUCAAUCGUGUGUGUGGCCAAUUUUGUUUUACUCUUUUU
rnacentral:lncRNA from 1 species